CUCCAUUCCAGGCUUUGUGGCAUAUGGGUCUCAGUGUCCCCAUUGUCCUGUGGGGUUGCUGAGAGCUGUCCUCAUAAGAUUGUGAGGGUGGGAAUAUGAGAGGAGUUUGAGAAAGCUGAAGCCUAACAGGUCAACAACCGGACUGAGCUCUCCCCUUCUCCCCUGGGCCGUGUGCAAGCUUUGGGCCUGGUGGUGACACCUACCUCUCCAUCCCACCUGGCGGGCCCAGCUGACCCUCCCAGUGCAGGGGCUGGGAAGCUGCAAAGAACCCUUAGGCUCAGAAUUUCCUGCUGUCAGCCAGCCCCCCUGCUGUUUCCCAUUUAUUUUUCUCUAUCUCCUUUUCCAUCUCCCCUUCCAGCACCUUCUGAAACUCCCUAGUCCUGUACUACCAACACACCAACCUUUGCUUAAUUGUCACGUCAGACAGAUGGCUCAGGUGUCCCCAGCUCCCUGAAGCUCUUCCCUUCCCCUCCCCUGGGCAGGGGCCUCAGGCCUUCCUCUGACUGAUCCAGCCCACCUCCCAGUGUCCAUACUAUUAGGUUGGUGCAAAAGUAAUUGCAGUUUUUGCCAUUACCUUUAAUGGCAGCCCCGGCACCCUGGCCAUUGGC
rnacentral:lncRNA from 1 species